GCCUUCAUGGUGUAGUGGUCGGCACAUUCGCCGCGUAUUCGAGAGGUCCGUGGUUCGAGUCUCGGCGAGGGCA
rnacentral:tRNA from 1 species